GACGAACGCUGGCGGCGUGCUUAACACAUGCAAGUCGAACGAAGUGGCGAACGGGUGAGUAACGCGUAAUCAACCUGCCCUUCAGAGGGGGAAAACAGUUGGAAACGACUGCUAAUACCGCAUACUGAAGGAGGGGAAUGCGUUGUAUUUGCUAGUUGGAGGGGUGACGGCCCACCAAGGCGAUGAUCCGUAGCCGGUCUGAGAGGAUGAACGGCCACAUUGGGACUGAGACACGGCCCAGACUCCUACGGGAGGCAGCAGUGGGGAAUCUUCCGCAAUGGACGAAAGUCUGACGGAGCAACGCCGCGUGAGUGAUGACGGCCUUCGGGUUGUAAAGCUCUGUUAAUCGGGACGCGGUACCGGAAUAGAAAGCCACGGCUAACUACGUGCCAGCAGCCGCGGUAAUUC
rnacentral:rRNA from 1 species